CCCAGCUGCACCCUUAUAUCCAGACUCCAUGCAAAUGGGGCUCUCCUCCUGCUCAUAAAAGAGGGCCCAGCCCCACAUGCUGGGGAGACACCCAGAACCCAAGUGCCUGAGACAGGACCCCAGUGGCUCCACCAUGGACUUGGUGCCAAGCUGUGUUUUCCUCCUGAUCAUUCUUCAAGGUGUCCAGUGUGAGGUGCAGCUGGUGGAGUCUGGGGGAGGCUUAGUGCUGCCUGGGGGGUCUCUGAGACUCUCCUGUGCAGCCUCUGGAUUCACCUUCAGUAGCAGCUGGAUGAGCUGGGUCCGCCAGGCUCCAGGGAAGGGGCUGGAGUGGGUCUCAGACAUUAAUGGUGAUAGCAGUACAACAUCCUACACCGACUCUGUGAAAGGCCGAUUCACCAUCUCCAGGGACAACGCCAAGAACACGCUGUAUCUGCAAAUGAACAGCCUGACAGCCCUGGACACGGCCAUGUAUUACUGUGGAAUAGACACAGUGAGGGGAAGUUUAGAGAUUGCGUUUGUGAAUAAAAAAGGAGGCUCUGUCAUAAAUCUGACCAAAUUCAGUGACUGA